rnacentral:rRNA from 1 species
UACGUAGGGCGCAAGCGUUGUCCGGAAUUAUUGGGCGUAAAGAGCUCGUAGGCGGCCUGUUACGUCUGCUGUGAAAUCCCGGGGCUUAACCCCGGGCGUGCAGUGGAUACGGGCAGGCUGGAGGCAGGCAGGGGAGAACGGAAUUCCCGGUGUAGCGGUGAAAUGCGCAGAUAUCGGGAGGAACACCGGUGGCGAAGGCGGGUCUCUGGGCCAUUACUGACGCUGAGGAGCGAAAGCGUGGGGAGCGAACAGG